rnacentral:lncRNA from 1 species
UAAGUUUAUUCAGUCUGACAAAUUUUACAAGCACAAGCAAAAUACAAAUAUAUUCUCUUUUUAUUUCCUCUGAAAAAUUAUUUUUUAUUGCUGUUCUUAGAUGCAAGGGAUCAAUCUCCUCUUUUAUUCACCUAAUACAAAUGAGUGUUUAUUCUUUGCUUUAGAUAGAUUUUGAUAAUGAUUUGCAAUAAAAUAAUUGCAGGCUUUUGGUUUUGUUUAUUUUGUAGUAAUUAUUAAGUUGUUCUUGCCUCUAUAUUGUGUAUACCAAUUCUGGUUAUAGUACAACGUCAAGGGUUUUUGUUUUUUUUUUUUUAGACAGAGUUUCGCUUUUGUCCCCCAGGCGGGUGUGCAAUGGCGUGAUAUCAGCUCACUGCAACCUCUGCCUCCUGGGUUCAAGUGAUUCUCCUGCCUCAGCCUCCCAAGUAGCUGAGCUGGGAUUACAGGAAUGCACCAACACGCCCGGCUAGUUUUUGUAUUUUCAGUAGAGACAGGUUUUCGCCAUGUUGGCCAGGCUGGUCUUGAACUCCUGACCUCAAGUGAUCUGCCCGCCUCAGCCUCCCAAAGUGCUGGGAUUACAGGCACGAGCCACUGCUCCUGGCAAGAGUUCUUGGUAUUUGCUGAAAGAAUUUAUACACCAAGUCAGAUUUAAAGAAAAAGAAAAAGCUUCUGUAGUAUAAUCUCAAACUUUAAUGUAGACUGAUUUACAUCUGUGUUUCAUUAAAAUAGAUUGAUUUAUAUUUGUGGCUUCUAGUAAAAAUGGAAUAUUUCUGAUUUGAGGCUGUAACUAUUAUUGAUUUUUUUCAAUAUGAUUAAUUAUGAGAUCAAAUCUAAUUCACAGUAUUUUAACAAUGUCUAUUCAAAAGGGUUUUUAUUGUUGCCAUAACUUUUUUAACAUAGCAAUUUUCACAAAUUUUAUCCUAAGUAAUUUAAAUAACAUGAAGUUUCACUUAAUAAAUAAUCUAUAUUUUCAAGAUUUUUUUGUAUAAAUAGUAUUUUAGUGAAGGGUUAUUUUUACAAAGUGUUUUACCACUGUACUUGAGGGAUGGGUUAUAUUUUCCUAUUUAACAACUACUUAUGUUUCAUUGAUGUCUGUGAUUGAAAUAAAAUAGAAAGGAAAAUACUGGCAAAAGUGAUAAUAUUAAGAUUGACAGCUGGUGCUAGGAAAGCUAGUCACAGUUGGACCUAGAAGCCAUCAACCAAAGUUACUGAAUAAGAAAAAAAAUGCUGCUAACAUCAAACUGAACUACUUUCUGAUUGUAGCCAAUGUGCUGAAAAAUGACUGGGUAAACCUAUAUUAAUCUCCUACAGGUCUAUAUAUCUCUUUUUGACUAUCUGUAUUUAUCAAAAACACAAAUUUAUUAUCUUUUAAAAAAUAGUUAUCAGACCACUUGGCAUGAAAUCUACCCUCUUAACAAUACAGUAGUGUUAACAAUAGGUACAGUGUUAUGCAGCAAAUCUGUAGAGUUCAUUCAUCUUUAUAACUGACACUUUAUACCCCUUGAACAGAAAGCCCCUGGUAAUCACUAGUCUAUUAUCUAAUAUUAUGAGGUUAUUUCUGAUACUUCAUAUAAAUGGAAUUAUGUGGUAUUUGUCUUUCUGUGAUUAUUUUCCAUAAUAUCGUCCAGGUUCAUCCAUGUUAUAGACAUUCAAAUACAAUUAAUAUAGUCAGGUGUGGUGGCUCAUGCCUGUAAUCACAGCACUUUGGAAGGUCGUGGCGGGUGGAUCACUUGAGGUCAGGAGUUUGACAUCAGCCUGGCCAACAUGGUGAAACCCCGUCUCUACUAAAAAUACAAAAAUUAUCCGUGCAUGGUGGCGGGAGCCUGUAGUCCCUGCUACUUUUGAGACAGAGGGAGGAGAAUCGCUUGAACCUAGGAGGCAGAGGUUGCAGUGAGCCGAGAUAGCGCCAUUGCACUCCAGUCUGGGCGACAGAGCAAAACUCUGUCAAAACAAAACAAAAUGCAACAAACAAAACAAAAACAAUGAAUACUAAAAGACUUAAAAGAAAACAGUAUUAUCACUUUACCACUUGCAUUUUCAGUCCUACUAUGACAAGGGCCAACUUCUAAUGAUUUAUUCUGAUCUUCUUCUUGAUAUUUCUUGAUAAUAUUUUUGUAUAGUAAUUAUGUGAUUGAUCAAUUUGAGAUGAAUAUUUAACUUCUUUACCCGAAACAGUACACUCCUCUCUUCUAACUUACCAAUUAGUUAUAACAUACUUUGUUUUUUCAGUGGCGCAAUCAGGGAUCACUGCAACCUCCUCUGUCUCUCCUCCAGAGCAGCUGGGACUACAGGCGCUCCACUACGACCGGUUAAUUUGUAUUUAUUGAUUUAUUUUUUGCGGAGGUGGGCAGAGUUUAACUCUGUCGCCAGGCUGGAGUACAGUGGCUCAAUCUCAGCUCACUGAAACCUCCACUUCCCCAGCUCAAGGGAUUCUCCUGCCUCAGCCUCCCUAGUAGCUGGGAUUACAGGCACUGGCCACUAUGCCCAGCUAAUUUUUGUAUUUUUAGUAGAAAAAGGGGGUUUCACCAUAUUGGCCAGGCCAGUCUUGAACUCUUGGGCUCAAGCAAUGUGCCUGCCUCGGCCUCCCAGACUGCUGGUAUUUCAGGCAUGAGCCACUGGGUCCAGACACAGCACACUUUCUGAUCAAGUCAGCAAUAACUUUUGCAGUAUACUAUCCAAGCACUGUAAUGAUUUGUUUUCCUUACUGCCAUUUUUUUCCUUGUGUUUAAUAUUUUGGGUUUCUUUUUUGGUGUUAAAAUUACCUAAUUUUUCAUCUUUAGUAUUUCCUAAACACAAAUGCUUAUUCCAUUAGUUCUGUCGUUAAGUAAAUACGUUUUUGUUUGCUUGCUUUCCCUCAAAGUCUGAUUUUCUAUGAUUAUUGUCUGGAGCCUUUUCCCUCACUAAACUCCAGUUUCUCUCUUUCACUUUCCUCUGGUCACCCCCUUAGACUGCCUGAGAUCAUUUUUCACUUUUAUCCCACUUUUGCGUUAGAUGCAGUGGUCCAGGUAUAAUACAAAUAUUCUGAGUCUUCACUGGGGUGUUGGCUGCACGAAUGUGUCCAUCAGUCAGAAUUCAUUGCACUUUUCCCUGACAUCCAAGCCACCUUUUCUCUUAUUUCCACAUUCUUGUGCAAAUGGACAUGUCUUCUAGUUACUUAUGAAUAAAAGGUACUGGGAAUAUUGAAUAUUUAUCUUUUAUAUAUAAGAAAUUGAUUUUAUUGUGUUCUCAUAUGCAAUGAAUGUAGUGCUAUAUCUCAUAGAAAAGAAGAGUUUCCUUAUAACUGUACAUUCUAGCAUCUAGUAUUGUUAUUUAGAAGACAAGUGUCACCGUGAUUUGUAUUACAUUUUAUUUGUAUUUCUUUGUAUUCCUUUGAAUAUGUCUUUUCUCUUGAAGUUUUUAGGAUGUUCUCUAGAUGUUUUUUAUUCAUUCUUCUAGGUACAUGGUUUAUGCUUUCAAAUGGAAAAUUUCUAUCCUUUAUUUCUGGAAUAUUUUCUGGUGUGACUGUGAUGGUUAAUAUUGUCAACUUGAUUAGAUUGAAGGAAGCAAAAUAUUGUUCCUGGGUGUGUCUGUAAGGGUGUUGACAAAGGAGAUUAACAUUUGAGUCAGUGGACUGGGAGUGCAGACCCUCAAUCUGGGUGGGCAAAAUCUAAUCAGCUCCCAGCUCUGCUAGGAUAAAAGCAGCAAAGGAACAUGGGAGGACUAGAUUGGCUAAGUCUUCUGGCCUCCAUCUUUCUCCUGUGCUGCCUGCUUCCUGCCCUUAAAUAUUGGUCUCCAGGUUCUUUAGAUUUUGGACUCUUGGACGUACACCAGUGGUUUACCAGGGGCUCUCGGGCAUUUGGCCACAGACUGAAGGCUGCACUGUCAGCUUUCUUACUUUUGAAGGUUUUGGGACUUGGACUGAUCCACCACUGGCUUCCUUGCUCCUCAACUUGCAGAUGGCCUAUCAUGGGACUUUACCUUGUGAUCAUGUGAGUCAAUUCUCUGUAAUAAACUCCCUUUAAUACAUACAUAUAUCCCACUAAUUCUGUCCCUCUAGAGAACUCUAAUCCAGUGACUUUUUGAUAAUUCCCUCCUCUUGUCAAUGAUCACUGUUCUUCAUGCAGAGGUUGUAUCUAUAGGCAGACCUCAUUUUAUUGUGCUUAUUUUAUUGUGUUCCACAGAUAGUGCACACAAUUUUUAAGGCUAUAAAUGCCAUAAGUACUGAUUCCUCUAAUAAAUCUAGACAAAGUAAAUUGAAAACCUUCAGAUUCACUGUUAUGAAUAGAUGCCAUAAAGAACACUUCUGAUUCAAGGGUGAAGGAGGUCAAAAAAGAAACAUUAACAUGAGUUCACAAGAAGUUGAUUCCAAUCCUUAGAGAUGACUUUGAGAGGUUCAAAAUUUCAGUGGAGAAAGUAAUUGACAAUAUUGUAAAAAUAGCAAGAUAACUAAACUUAGAAGAGGAGCCUGAAGGUAUGAAUAAAUUUGCUGCAAUCUUAUUAUAAAAUUCUAGUGGAUUAGGAGGGGCAUCUUGAGAUGAAAUCUACUCCUGGUGAAGAUGCUAUGAACAUUAAUGAAAUGACAACAAAAACUUUAGAAUGUUACAUCAACUUAGUUGACAAAACAGCAGCAAGGUUUGAAAGGAUUGACUCCAAUUUUGAAAGAAGUUCUACUGUGGAUAAAAUACUAUCAAAUAGCAUUACAUGCUACAGAGAAACCAUUUGUGAAAGGAAGAAUAAAUACAUGUGACAAACUUUAUUGUUGUCUCAUUUUAAGAAAUUGCCAGUCACUCCAUCCUUCGGCAACCACCAACUUGAUCAUUCAGUGGUCAUUAGUUGAGACAAGACGAGAGACAAGACAAAACCAGCAAAAACAUUAUUACUUGCUGAAGGCUCAGAUGAUCAUUAGCAUUUUUAGCAAUAAAAUAUUUUAUAUAAAGGUAUGUAUGUUGUUUUGUAGACAUAAUGCUAUUUCACAUUUAAUAGUCUAGAGUGUAAAUAUAACUUAUAUGCUGUGGGGAGCCAAAAAUUCAUAUGACUUGCUUUGUUAUGAAAUUUUCUUUAUUCUAGUGAUCUGAAACUGAACCUGCAAUUUCUCUAAGGUAUGCCUGUAUUUGAACAUUUUUCUCUCACUGUCUUUCAAUCUGGUUUCUAAUCCUUUUGCCUAAAGUGUUUUGUUCUUUGACUAUACAUUAUUUGGAAAAUACUUCUCUUCUCUUAACGGAUGCUAUUCAUGCAACAUUUCUAACUAAAGAUAGUAAAUGUAGUCUUUGGUUUACUGAUUUAAAUAUUCUCGCAUACUUUAAUUACCAGUGUUCUCCCGGACAUCUUUAUCUGCCUCCUUUGCUUUCUGAUAAUUCAACUAGAAUCUUCCACAAGUGUAAUAUGGUUGUCUUUUCAGUGUAAAAAUUAACUGCUAAGAAAAAUGUUGAAAUUUAUCUGUUUCAAGUAAAAGACUUGUCUACUUUUGGUCUUUAAAGGAGGUCAAAGAGUGACCUGACAUUUUUGUUGGGUGACAUCCAAAGUAUAGAUACAUGAAGAUCUUGUAUCUGGGGUAGUACAGAUUUUUAAAUGAAGAAUGCUCCAAAUUUCUGCUUAAGAAAAUGUGCUGGGCUGAAGAAAUUGAGGAAAUAGAAUUGGGUUCCAACAACUCAGUAUACAGAAUCAUAUAAUUUCCUAUUUUCUGUUCUUUGCCUCACUGCUACUCUUCAUUAGAACUCUUGUCGUCUUUCUUGUUCAGUUUCGCAUGUCUCUAAAUCUGAUACUUCUUGUCAGUUCAUGUGAGGUCUUUCCAAAUUUUUAAAAAAUCUGUCAUCUAUAAUGAUGUAUACCACAAAUAGUUUUCCCUUGACUAUAUCUAUUACAAUAAUAUAUGACCUUUAUCUUAGUGGGAUUUCAAGAGAAAAAAAAUAAGCAUGUGCUGUCAACAUGCCAAUAAUUAGCUCAAUAUUUUUAGUAGGUAAACUACUUAUUAUUAGUAGGUAAACAUUUAGCACUUCUUAUUAGCUGAUAAACUACUGUUUCAGAAGGGUCAGUAUUCUUGAUAAUUUCCUGUAACCAUUUGAUUUGAGUAAACCUCAUUCUUUCCUUUUCCUAAAUAUUUUAUUUUUACUACUUGAAGAGAUUAUUUCAAAAAGCAUUAAACUCCAUGCUAAUGGCACUUUAAAGUCUCUUUAAUUUUGUUUCAAUAAAACUGACUUAGUUAUAUAAUGUAAUUUAUUAUUUUAGAUAUAAAUAAUCCUUAAUCAUUAGAUGAUUUUCCAAAUAGCAUUUUAAGCAUUAUAAUCAGAAUUUGUUUGCAUGUGUUUCAUAUGUUAUUUAUAAAUGUAUAUGUACAUACACUUAUAAAAUGUAUAUGAGUCUCUCUGCAUGUGUGUACAACUAUGUGUUGUCCUAGUGAUAGUCAGAAAGUCUUAAUAGAAGAGGCAGCAUCUAGCUGGGUAGAAGAAUGUAUGCAGUAAUAUAUCUAUUAGGGGAGAAGGGAAGGGGAGUCUAAUCAGAAGAUACAAAAGAGUAUACCAAAGAACUUAGUGAUUUAAAAAAAAAAAAGAUUUCCAGGUUUGGGACAUCAUGAUAAUUUCAUUGUGACUUAAUCUCAUGGUGGACGAAAUGAAAAUGUGGAUUUCAUAGACAUAGAUGGUGGAAGUAUGCUAAAUAAUAUCAAUUGUAUUCUGAAAAUAAUACAGAAGUUACUAGAAGCUUUAAAUAUUGCAGUUUCAAAAUUAGAAUUAUUUUCUAUUCAUUUAUUUUUAUUCAUUCAACAGUUUCUUUUUGGUAAUCUGCUAUUAGUAGACUCUCUACUAUGUGUUAUAUUUUCUCAUAAUGUGCUGAUGAUAGAAAUGAACUCUUUCUGUUCUGAUACAACUUCCUAUAUUGUAAGAAGUUUAAUCUAGAGACAUAAAGGAACAUAAACCACAUCAAUGAGGAGGACUUUGUAAAAAGGGUAUGGAAGUAGAACUGGAGGCUACAAGGAUCAACUCAUCUAAGAUAAAUUGAAGGACUGAACCAAGUUAAAGACAACAAGCAUUUUAAGGACAAUCUGUAUUUGAAAUACUCUGCUGAGGUAUAAUUAACAGAAGAUUUUGAUCAUUUAACUAUGAAAAAGAAGGCAGCCAAGGUAAUUUGGAGUAAUUGAGGUUUCUACCUUGGGGUCACUUUGUAUGUGCAGACUAAAAUCUUUGACUACUCUUUAAAGUUAACUUUAUACAAUUGUUAGGGCAUUCUUAUACAGGUUUUCAAAAACCAGUAACAAUUUUUAUACACUUUGGUCCAAAUUUAAAAUUACAUCUUCAUGUUUUGUAUUAUACUUUAAGUUCUGGGAUACAUGUGCAGAACGUGCAGGUUUGUUACAUAGGUAUAUACACGUGCCACGGUGGUUUGCUGCACCCAGCAACCCGUCAUCUACAUUAGGUACUUCUCCAAAUGCUAUCCCUCCCCUAGUCCCCCAUCCUGUAACAGGCCCAGUGUGUGAUCUUCCCCUCCCUGUGUCCGUGUGUUCUCAUUGAUCAACUCCCAUUUAUGAGUGAGAACAUGAAACAAACAACCCCAUCAAAAAGUGGGCAAAGGAUAUGAACAGACACUUCUCAAAAGAAGACAUUUAUGUGGCCAAGAAACAUAUGAGAAAAAACUCAUCAUCACUUGUCAUAGAGAAAUGCAAAUCAAACCACAGUGAGAUACCAUCUCAUAACAGUUAAAAUGGCGAUCAUUAACAAGUCAGGAAACAGCAGAUGCUGGAGAGGGUGGGGAGAAAUAGGAACACUUUAACAUUGUUGGCGGAAGUGUAAAUUAGUUCAACCAUUGCGGAAGACAAUGUGGCAAUUCCUCAAGGAUCUAGAACCAAAAAUACCAUUCGACCCAGCAAUCCUAUUACUGGGUACGUACUCAAAGGAUUAUAAAUCAUUCUACUAUAAAGACACAUGCACACGUAUGUUUAUUGCAGCACUAUUCACAAUAGCAAAGACUCAGGACCAACCCAAAUGCCCAUCAAUGAUAGACUGGAUAAAGAAAAUGUGGCACAUAUACACCAUGGAAUACUAUGCAGCCAUGAAAAAAGAAUGAGUUCAUGUCUUUUGCAGGGACAUGGAUGAAGCUGGAAAUCAUCAGUCUCAGCGAAUUAACACAGGAACAGAAAAACUGACAUCUUCAUUUUUAUAAUUGCAAAUGUGGGAGCCAAUUUAAUAAUUUCUACAAGAAUCCAGAUUUUUCUGCUACAAGUGGCCAGGUUUAUAUGAGUGCUGAGUAGCGAAAUAAUUAAGCAAAAUACAAAACAAGCCUUUCAUUUUUCAUGGAAGAUUGAUUUCUCAACUAGUAUUCAUUACAUUUCUGAAUUAUUUUCAGGUGAAACAGUAGAGAUAACUGUUCUAAAAAUGUUUUUUUGACAGAAAAAGAUGUAGAAAUGACAAUUAAAAUGCCUAAAUAUUUUUAAGGAAAUAGAUGAGAUGUAACAGAGUUCUCUGAAUAUAUAUCAGAUAUAAAUACAUCCUUCAAGUAUUACAGAAGGUAAAUUAUUCAAGCUUUAUAUCAGAAAUUUUAUAGAGGAUAUUUUGAUAUUCAUAUGCUGAAUUUCUCAGCAGAAUCAUUAUUUUCAAACCAUGAGCUAAAGGAAGCUUCAAAAUUUGAACAUAAAGGAUAUUAAAGAUCAUUGGCCCAAUUCUUUAGUUUUGCAUAUGUUCUAAAACUUUGUAAAACUGAGCAGAAUGAUUGCCUAAGGAGAGAUACCUCAUUAUUGCAAGGCUGUGAGUUGAGCUCAUACCACCUGAUUCUCUAGUCCUGAGCUUUAAAUAAUCCUGUAUCUUAGUAAGCUUUCCAAAAAUAUUUCAUAAAAUUUCCACUCCAAACCAGAUGAUUUAAUGUAAGAAUGCAAGAUAUUUCAUCUGUGAGCAACCAGUUUGACAAGGCUCAUUAAGAUGAAACUAGCUGAGAAUAUCUUCAUCUUUUUGAAAUUUGAGUACCUUUUUGUGACAUCAAAGACAGUUCUAAUUUACUCCUACAAUAUAGUUUCAUAUUUCUUCAUACUAACUAAAGUAACUCUAAUUUGCCAGUUCUAAAACUUUUUCUUAAUGUUUUACUGAUCACUCAAUAUUAUUUGAAAUUAUCGAUCAAUUGUUUUAUUUUUUUUUCCUCUUUCCACUUAGUAUAUUGUAAAUUUUGUAAAAUGCAUGUGCCUUGUCUGCUCUGUUUGUUGCAGUAAACCCAAAACUUAAAAUAGUGAAUAUAAUUGGCACUUAAUGUAUCUCUUUCUACAAAUGAAUACCUUUGGUGGCUUAAUGGAUCUUCUUCCAGACUUAUUCUAAUCUAAUUACUUAAAUAGAAAUUACUUUGAUUCUAAAGCAUGACUGUAAGUUGGAUUAAAAUAUUAGUAAAUUAAAAAGAAAAUCUGAAAGUGCUAAAAUACUAAAAAUAGGAAUACUAAUACUAAUAUUAAAAACAAUCUGAUUUCUUACUCCAGGUUCAAGACAUUGUGCUAAUGCUGUAUAGAACAGAUCUCACAUUCAUGUUAACUGGUUUAUUUUGAAGCAUAACAUUUCAUCAAGGUGUAUACCUGUAUGUGAAUAUUUAACAAUUUAGAAACUGAAACAGAUGCAGAUGAAGAAUGACCUACUUGAAAAUUUACCAGCCAAGCCUGUAAGCUGUGUAGAGUAAUGUCAACACAAAGGAAAUAUCAAUUCAAGUGGAUUCCAAUGUGCAAUCACAGUCAUUAGUAUGGAUUGGUGUCAAACUUUCAAGCAUUUGCCUUGUUUAUUGAACAACCUAAUAAUUCAAAAUGGUAAUGGGAAGAGGGUGGAGUAGGAAAAUAAGGAUAGACUCUGAAACCAAGGUCCUUAGGGCUUCUAUAUGAAUUUCAGAAUUACUGUCAAAUAAAUAUUUAUUGGUGUCCUUUCUCUUGUAUGUAGACAAUAAGUACACAUACAGAUAGCUGUCUAAAAAUUAAGUGUUAAGCUGGAAUUAGAUAUUGAAAUUGAGUACCAAUAUUAUCUUUAGUCAAUUUCCCUUAGGAUACUAUUUUGUGAAGAGAAAAUAUUAUUCAUGUGCAUAUUAAUUAAAGCUUUUAAAAUGAUCACUGAAAAUGUAUCCUCUGACCUGCAGAGUAUAUCCAGUGUAUGUUCUUAAGUCCUGGUGCUAGAUGCAAAUUAAAGAUGAGUAAUGCAAAUUGAAAUUUCCAUGAAAUGAAUCAUUCUACAUAAUGAGCUUUACAAAUUCCACAUUUUAUGCAAUACCAAAAAUAAAAAAAUAAAAAAUAAAACUCAAAUGCUUACCAAGCUAAAUGAUGCUGAAACUGUUUAUCAGCUGAAGAAUGGCAGCCAGCAAUUAAAAACAGUCAAGCUUUGCAGAAAGCAGCAAGAUAUUUAAAGAGCAGAUAUUUUACAAAUAUCAUAAGAAAAAGAAAAUGUCUAGAACUCUUUUAUAUAUGUUAAAAUAGAAAACUAAGGAAGAAAGGAAAUUUUUACAAGCAAAAUCAUUACAACACAUUUUAAAAAUCCACAAAACAAUGGUAAAAUAGUAUUAUGUAUCCUUAACUUUUAUGUUUUCAGAAUAGAUUAUAAUGACCAUAUAAUUGACUCUUCGAUGUAACUCCACUCUGGCCCUCCAUUUACAAGUUAUUUAAGGUUUCUGGAAACCUCAGGUUAUUCACAUGUAAGUGGAUUUCUAUGAGAAUGAAACAAAAUAAUAAGUGUUUAAUAUCAGGCUAACCAAAUGGCACAUAGAAUCCUCACAUAAUAGGUGUUCAGUAAAUGUUGCUUUUUUAUGUUCCUCUAUUGUAACCCAUUUAGUCAACAUAUGAGAAAAAUAAAAAUUACAACUACAUCCACCACUCCAAAAAUGAUUACAUUCAUAGUUAACUAUGUCCCUACUAUCUCUAUUCUUAGAUAAGGUCAUAACACAAAAUAGCUACCCCUUCUAGAAUAAUUGAUCAAAUAAGGAAUGUCCGUUGAAACCGUAAAACAUGAAAGGAGCGUAGAUACACAUAAGGUAAACAAUUUAUAAUUUUUAUUCGUGUUAGGUUAACACUAGCCCCCAUAACAGAUAACACCAAAAUAUCAAAAGCUUAAUAUAAUUUUAUUUUUCACUAAAUUCUAAUUGUUGGUGGGAAGAGGUUUGUGCUGCUUGAUAUAUCGCCCUUUGUGGAUUCGUUGUCUCAUGAAUGAAGAAUAUGCUUCUUAUUUAAGUUUGUUUUCCAAUAUCUCCCCGAGAGUCAUCCUCAAUUCAGCAGGAAGGGGGAACUGCAAACUCAGUAUAGAGUACGAGAUGUGUCAAGUUGUGUUAGAAUAAUCCUGAAAAAGGCUUACAUCACUUAUCUCCAUACAUCAGUGGCCAAGGCUUACUCUUUUGGCCAUAACUAAUUGCAAGGGAGACUAAAACCAAAGGGAAAAUUGUUACUGGACCUCCUAAUUUAUCUGUUCCUAAGAAAAGUCAGAAUUGAAUACAUAGAUAGCAAACAUAUAGUCUUUUUAUAUGGUUAUGUGUAUAAUAUACUCUUAAAAUAUUUUAUAAUCAUAUGCUUGUUACAAAAUAAGGAGCUUUUGUCAGUGCAUAUUCAUUAUCACAGUGAAUAUGCAGUAUUGAAUCUUAAAAUAAUAUUUUAUUUAAAGAGAUGAAUAUUCUGGAUUGUGACAUAUGUAUACAAAAGGUUGGGAAUCCAAUUAAUAACCUUUAUAAUCUGUAUUAUAUAAAUGCAGUACUUCCCAUUAUUAAUGGUAGUUUCUAGUAUGAGUGAGGGCAAAUAAAAACAUUAGACACAAAAUAGUAAUUUUGACAGGCCUUAAUCCAACUAUAAGCACAUUUUAAAAGUUUCUUAGGUUUGACAUAUUUAUCUAAGAAACAAAAGGAAUACUUAUAAGUUAAUUAAGAACAAAAGUUGAAUAUUAAAAAUUAAACUUACCUUCAUCCACAUUAUCUGAUAUAUUUAAAUAUUUUACUUAUCCACUUAAAAUUUAUUGUGCAAAGGGUGUUACAAUUUUUUCAGAUAAAAUCUUUCUGAGUUCAAAAAAAUGUGUUUGAACAUAGUAAAUAAAAUUUAUGUUUUCUAUGUGCCAAUAUUCUCCACUAAAUUUAGAAUUAAACAAUUGACUUGAGAUCUUACAUUAGUUAAUGUUAUAAUUUCCACAAUUUAAGAUUUAAGAAACUAUAAGAAAUCUAAUAAAGAGACAAGAUAUGAUACAUGGCUUAUAAAGAAUUAAGAAAUACUUAAUUCUUUAUAAUAGAAUUGCUUAAAAA